AGAUGGGGGGGGAGGUGUACAUAACAUAAAGAUCCCAUGGUCCUUGGGCCCACCAGCAAGGCCAGUCACCUCUGGGUACAUGCAGGCCACAGCAGAGCCCCUUGGAGUCUGACGUCCUGCUCUGUGACCCCCGCAAGGAGACAGCAGGAUCAGCAGCAUUUGCCGCUUGCCGGGCAUUACCUGGGCAUCGACCUCUGAGGCCAGCUGCAGAGUGCACUGCUGUCCCUUGCGGAGGAGGGCUCACAGCCCUGCUAGAGGAGGUGGGUGUGAAGGACCCGAAGAGGACGAGCAGCAAUGCUGGGAGCUUUGGGCCAGAGCAGCCCCAGACAGCUGACCCAGAUCCGUCUUUACCUAACAUUAGACCUCUGUCCAGUUUUGGCUGUUGUCCAAACAGGGUCCAAGCUAACUUCGGAGCAACUGCUUGAACACUGCUGAUGGCGGCGUGGUAUUAAAAAUAUUUAACCUCUGAGAUGGCACAGGCAUCGACCAAUCAGAACAGAGGCCAGCUAGCCACAAAUAACACAUGCCAGCUCAUACCAGAGAGAGAGAGAGAGAGAGAGAGCACAAGCAAGGGGAGCAGCAGGCAGAGGAAGAGGGAGAAGAAGGCUCCCCACCUAGCAGGGAACCUGAUGCAGGACAAGAUCUCAGGACCCUGGGAUCAUAACCCAAGCCAAAGGCAGACGCUUAACCGACUGAGCUACCCAGACACCCCAUGGCAUCAUUUUUUGAACCUCGAAAAUAAUAUGUACUAUUUGAACAUGAUGAGAUUGGUUGUUUGGUGGUUUAUUUGCCUUUUGGAUGGACAUCUGGAGCCUUAUCUGGAUGCCAAAUAAGUGGCCGGCUGGGCCUCUCCCUGGUUCGAAUAAGCCUCCUGGGGCAAGAGAAAGGGAGGGGAGAACAUGAAUUUAUGUAAGGAAAGACCCACCCAAUGAAGUUUAAAGAUCACCAUCAUGCAGUUUCCAAGUCAAGCCAGGAGAGGGCUCAGAAAACUUCUGCCUGAUUGUCUAAUAAGAGGAACUUCAGGAAAUGGACAGAGCACUCCACUCUUCCAUCAGAUGACAGGCACAGUCAUUUAGUCGGCCUGAUUUCAAUCAGACCACAACAAUUUUUUUUUUUUAAUUUAGAGAGAGCACAAGCGUAGGGGAGGGGCAGAGGCAGAGGGAGAGAGAACCUCCAGCAGACUCUGCAGUGAGCACACAGCUGGUCUCGGGGCUGGAUCUCACAAUCUCAAGACCAUGAUCUGAGCUGAAAUCAAGAGUUGGACGCUCAACCAAUUGAGCCACCUACACGUCCAAAGCCACAAUUUUAUUAUACAGUAGGCUAGCUUCAUGUGAUCUUUGCACCAUUUAAUUCUUUCUUGAAGAAAAUGAUGAGACUUCUUCAAGCCCGAGCCAGUUUUGCCCUGUGUUUCUUUUAGAUGGCAGUCCUCUUUGCCUCCCUCAGGAAGUCAGGUGCUUCUGAGUAGCUCUCCUUCGCCUGCAGAGCAGAGGCUGGAGGAGCUAACCUCCCCUGACUUCCUGGUGAUGACGCAGAGCUAAAAGCACAUGGUCAACCCGGUCCUUGGUGGGAACGGCAUUAGAUAAAUGCGGGGUCCAAUUAUUAACUGUAAACUAUAUACUCUGGGUAAUAGAUCUGACUCAUUAUGAGUGAGACUGAAUACUCAGUAAUUGAGGACCGAAGCAACUAGCCAAAAACCAAGGUUCCAGACUGACACAAAGCUCAGGGACAUGUGGGGAAAUGCUGUUUAGACAAAGCCAUCUGCAAGCCAACUCACCCUAGGCAAUUCAAACCAAGAGAACAUCGUUAUACAUGCUUGGAGGGUAAGGACCAAUGCUUGAAGUACAGAGAAAGUUCUCAUACAAUAAAGCAGGUAUGAUACAAUGUUUCCUGCAGUAUCAUGAAGUCAAUGGGAUGAUGAAGUAUUUGUUCUGUUUCAUUAUGACUUACUUUUCCAUCCCAAUUUUUUCCUAUAUUCAACACUUGAUGUAUUUUACUUCAUUUGUCUUUUCAAUUAUCCUUUAAAUAAAACAUUUAUAUUUGAUAAGGAAACUGGAGUGUUAAGCCAGUAAUGUCAAUGUAUAUUGCAAGGCCACUUCCUCCCCAGGAUCCAGGAUGAGAGAUGGUCUUACCUGUUAAAGGUUUCAGUCAGAGUGGUAGGAAGAGAGUGAGUCUCAUCAUUUAUUGGACAGUAAAGAGAAUUUUUUAAAAAUCCUCCCAAAUUGACAUCCUUCCUAUAGCUGCUAUCAAAAUGGUUUCAGACUUCCACUCUUGACACUUAUGAUCCACAUUUCAAAUAUUCACUUCAUUACUCGAACAUGGUUUCUGGAAAGAUAGCUAGCAGCUAUAUAAUUUGUCUUCGCUCAGAGUUCAAAGACCAGAAUGAGAACAGAAUUCAGACCUUCUGAUUUCUAAUUGAAUAUCCUGUUCACUGCCUUGUGGAUGGGUCAAAUCGACCUUUUUUCUCUUGGAGUCACCCUUGACUUGAUUUUCUCUUUUAAAUUUUGAUCUUCUUUUUAAAAUCUUUAGUUUUUUUCUGAUUACAAAAGUGAUACAUGUGUAUUGUACAAAGUGACAGUCCAUCUUUGUAUAACCCCACCUAAUCAAGGUUGUAUUUCAAUGCAUAGAAGGCUUUUGAAAAAAAUCAAAACUCAGUUUAGCUUAUAUAAAGUGGUUGGCAACUUUCUUUUUCACCUUAAAAUGCCUUGGAAAUAGACAAACCAUAGGAAACUCUUAAUCUCACAAACUGAGGGUUGCGGUGGGGGGCAGGGGAGGUUAUGGACAUU
rnacentral:lncRNA from 1 species